GGUGGACUCUAUAUUUAGAUACACUAGGUCGACACACGAGCACAAAUAUCGGAUGUUCAUGAGCAAGGAACACGUCGAAUAGGCUCUCGGCGCUCCCCUAUGAGAAUUCUCGCGGCAUAUCGCUUCCCUCCUGGCGCUAUCUUUGCUUUCAAUUUGCUCUUUCCGUGCCAUUACUCCCACUCGAAACGUUACAAUCUAAUGUAGAAUUUAAUACGUUCCAUUCGUCCUGACGUUACUCGCAUUUUCUUUCGAUGACAAAGGACAAAAAAAAACAAGAUCACUCAUCUACUAUAUUUCGACGAGUUAACGAAGAUUCGUUUAUUCGAGAUAUUACGAUUAUGAUUUGUGAGGAUAAGAUAGUAAUCCAUAGGAUAAUACGAGAUAGGAUAACGUCAAGUGAAAGGUUUUAAUCGUUUUACAGUAGCAACAACUUUAUUAAGACAAUGUUAUCUUAGGUUUUACGUAAAACCUAAGAGAUACUUUUCUUUCUUACUAUCUCUUUAUGCGGAGAAGUCACGAAACGAUUCGGUCAUGCGUGUAGACCGGCGACCGAUAAAAGUCGAGUUCUGCUUCGACUUUAGAACGGGUGAAGGCAAACGAUAGCUCGAGGGCCAAUGUGCCUCGGCACGACUGUCCUGUCGUUUCCUUUUCUCUUUCCCUCCCUCUCUCUCUCUCUCUCCCUCUCUCCCUCCCUCUCUCUUACGCUGGCUUUCUUAUAUGCCGAUCGGGAACUCUAAUUGCGAUCGCAACAAGCGAACGAAGGGAGAAAGAUUCGAAUCCGCUAUAGUUUUAGAACGGCUUGAAAUUUGCCAGGAGGCUAUAUAAGAUCGUAAAAAAAGAUUUCCGAGAAUAAUUUCCAUACGUCUCGCUAUUAAGUUUCUCUCAGUGAUCUCGAAUUUCGACUCGUCCGAGAUUCGCGUAAUCUGAUCGUAGAAUCGCCGUUUGAAAAUUAACCAUUGGAAAAUGUCGAUGUGGACGGAUGAGAAAGAUAGUUAAAGAAUAGGUAAGGACAAGGGAAAGGACAAAGUUUCUUGUUCAGCUCUUUAGAAAAUAAGAGACCGGUUCGUGUCUCAUCUAGUUGGUUAACGAAGCCGCAUCGUAUCUAUGUAAUACGUACGAGAGUUUUACGAUAGUCAUUGCCGAUGCAAAAGGGCGGCGUAGCUGGUCUCUCGCAUCAAUGGCCGCUCGUUAAUCGGUUGGUUUACUGGCCGAUGAUCGAGUACCUAAUUAACUAUACAUUCGCGAUAUGCUUUCGUCGUUUUUCGCGUUCGACCCUACGGCACGACACGAAGCGGACAAUUAUAUCGUUAAAUACCUAGAUAACGCGCUCUAGCAAGGCAUAACGUUUGUCUACCUUCUAAGUCUUAAGAUAUUCGCCAGACUUCGAGUAUAUCUCAUGUAUAAUAGUUGGCUUACCUACCUAUCAACCUUCCUAUCAACCUACCUACUGUCCCGAGGUGGCGAACGCACGACGAUAAUUACUAGCGCGAGCCGAUGCUUGAUCGUCUGUCAAUGUAACUAUUAGUCAUAAACUAUAAGCCCCGCUUGGGUUCAUAAUAGAAACGAGAACACGUGACUAAAUCAACGUAAAGAAGAUCCUGAAUCUUCUUUGACGAUCUUAAAGGAGUAUAGCUUGUUAACAACGGAUUACAAACGAUAGAAAAUUUCGAUAUUUUUCUCGAUAAGACGUGUUUUAUAGAUAGUUUGCAAAAUCGAACUUUCGGAUCCUUAACUCUCGUUGUUUUCCUCUCUCGAAACAAGCAUCUUUUCUUUUAAUUUCGCUAAUAUAGAUUUAUUGUGGCACCGCGACGUCGCAAAAUGUGCCCUUAUAUUUUUCAAUUUCGUGCUUGAGAACAAAGUUGAGAAAUUUCUACUCGUCGACUCUUUCAUCACCGUUCGUUCUUUUUUUUUUCUUGCACGAUACGCGAAAGUUACAAACUCAUGGGUUCUUUUUGAAAAUGAGUAAACGUUGUAAAGUUGUACGACGAUCAAAAAAAAAAAAAAAAAAAAAAAAAAAAAAAAAAAAAAAAAAAAAAAGAAAGAAAGAAGAAAGAAAGAAUUGUUAGGUUGAACCGUUAUUUUCUUCUUUCUUUUUCUUUUUUCUUCCUUUUUUCUACCACGUUGUCGACAUUAAUCGCUUGUCCACUCUCAUCCUCGAACGAGUCGGAUUCUUUUUCUUUGCGCUUAUUUCUUUGAAUAAGUACUUGCGCAACGGUAAAUACCGAUAUUUUUCCACAGCGUCAUCGUUAUGCAAGACGCCAGUUUGUUUCCUCGAGUCGCACGCGUGAAUCGCGGCGAACGUAAGCAAGCGGUGGUUCUUCUCAACUUGAGGGAAUCUGUAAUUGCAGACUUUGUUCGGGGCUCGCGUUCCUGACAAGUGAUUCCAAGACACGCGAGGAACGAACUCGACCUGGAUAGACUAACAUUUAAAAAAUGUGUUCUCGAAACAGCUAAAAGGCCUUAUAUACUUUUCUACUCGUCAUCGAAAUUUUCAGAAUCGUUUCGAUCGCUGGAAUCGCGAUUUUUCAUCUUGACGUAAACCGAUGAGUCCGUCGAUGAGUCCGUCGUUUUAAUUUCUCUUUUGAAAGAUCGCAACGACGUAUUAAAUCAAGAAAUGUCCAAGAGAGAGAGAGAGAGAGAGAGAGAAAAUAUAUUUCGAUGGGUACUUGAAUGAUUAGAAAAUCUUUGCUCUUUAUUAUUUCAUCUUGAUAGAAGGAGAAAGAAAAUGCGUUGGUUAAUUAGACGUAGGAAGACGAUAUAACUUAUGCACUUGCACCGCCAAAGGGUCUAAUUAUUUCCAAUGGCAUGUAAUAUAACAAUGAUUCAUACGCGCGUAUAUUUAUACAUCUAAUCUAUAAUAGGUAUGUAAUACAAGUAAGAUAUUUUGACGAGUAAACGUAGAUAUUAAGGACUCCGUCUUCGGAGUAAAGUAAAAGACCGGCAUAAUACGGACGAAUAUGUACAGUUAGACGAAUCGUCGUCUUGUAGUCGAUGAAGAGGAGUCCGGAGAAUGAGCGCGCGCGUGUCUCUGAGAGAAGAAGAGAGGAAUGGAAGGAGGACGGAAAGGAGGCCACAGGCGACCCGACCGUCACCGUUAUAUCGGCGCCCACGGCGAAGUACUCGAACUCGGCUCGAUUUACGACUAGUUUCCUGCAACUUGGUACGUUGUAUGCGAUUCGACGUUACGUUUGACCUCUGCCAUCCACCUGUUCAGGUUAGGCCAGUCGAGGUGCUCCUGCACGCCACAGACGUUCGAAUGAAUUGGAUCGAGUUUUAAAAGUUUGCCCUUUAACAGAGAAAAAAUGAAACUCCUUGGGGAGAUGUAAUCGAAACGACAGAGACUUAUCCGUAGACGUACGCCUAGAUGGAAAGGUAUCGAUUAUCACUCCAAGAUAUCCAACUUGACGUCUUAAUCUCCAUGAGAUACGAACACUUUUAUUUUCAUCGUACGACGAUCUACUUAAAGGCAUUGAUCGGGGAUUGAAGUACGAGUAAGUAACGCAUAAGACCGGAAAAACUUGUUCAACUUUCUCGUGCCCUCCGGUUCUACACGCUUAACUCGUGGUUUGCUUUCUAGCUCCGUUGUGCGCUUCCUUACAGGAAGAGAAGUCUGCCGAGGACACGGCAUGCGUACUAGGAGUCGUGUUCAAAGCCACGUUUCCGCGAUUACACGCUCGAUCCACCUCCGAGCCCUUUUCCUUGAGUUUAGCGAUAAUAAUUUGUAUUCAUAAGAAAUAUCGACGACCGGACUCGACUACCAAUUCUACGUAGUAGUAGAUAGGUACACGUAUUUGCAAGGAUCUCGCUUGGAAAUAUGUAAAUUGCUAAUCUUUUUGCGUUUUGUCAGUCGGAUUACAAUGGAGCUCUCGGAUCGUCUUGGAUUCCCGACGGGGGCUCGACUCGAGAAAAUUUCUUUUCGUGUUAGCACGAAGAACGUGAGGACGCUGAGGAUUCGACUCCUUUCGGCUCGUCCACAAUGGAUGGAUCAUUUUUCCGAGAUCCCUCCAAGAUCAUUCUUUUCUUACGUCUCUUCUACGUAAAUUCUAGUUACAUUUAGAUUAGUUAAUUUUUCAAUCGAGUUCUCGAACAGAUGGACAAUGAUAUAUGGUUAAUGUAAAAAAUUUCUAUUUCCAGCUUCGGUAACAUCGAUCAUAUACCACGGUACGUUAAAUCUUUAAACUCGAUCUUCGUUUACGAACGUAUUGUAAAUCGUUCGAGUUAUAUCUACGCUGUUCUUGCAUCAUGUUGAAAUAUAUCAUUUUACGGGCAGAUUACAUAAAGGUAAAGGAUGCUUCGCGUUUGUCGACACGUACCAAGAUCAACGUAUUCCUUCUAACAGCAUCUUCGAUAGAAUUCAUAGGGUAUCUCGGUGGAAGACAGUCAGCGAUCUAAUCCUUUUGAAGUCGAAGGCGAACUCGUUGCCAAGAUGAUUAAAGUCUGAGCACGACGCGUGGCUCAGAGAGUCGUUGAUCAUUGUCACGAAUUCAAGGUUGAAAAAUGAUUGAGAUUAUUUCUAGAGCAUGCAUAUUUUUUCUUUUUUCUCUUCUUAUAAGUAAGUGACCGUCUAUGGUGACCGUCUACGAUCGAAGAAAAACAACAAUCUUUGCUUCCUGGAGUAACAAGGUUAUAUAGGAAAUUACCGUUAACGGCGUGUCCAGUUGUAACGUUGACAUUGAACACGCGUAGCCCUUCGACGAUCAUUAAUAUCAGCUAACGAGACCCCCAGAAAGAAGGUGGAGCGUUCUCGGAAGCCACCGAUCCGUGACUCAUGUUUUAACGUAAACCGUUAGAACGAACUCACUCUCUUUCAGGUGGAUCUCGUGCUUGUAAAUCUAGAUCUGUUCGAAUGACGGAUGGAUCGUAAGCCAUUUGAUGGGAUUAGAUCGUAACUCUUUGGAAUGGAAUGGCAGCCAGCUUCUCGUCGAACUAUUGCAUUCGAUUUAUUAUAUAACAAAGUGUCGAUCGAACGAGCAGAACGAUCGAAAUUUAUGAUCCUCGUUCGAAUGCAUCAUGUAUACAUAAAGAUUGGUUGGUUACUGACCGUGCCCACUGAGGAGUAGCAAGUCUUGGAGCAGGUAGCGCCAGGUGCAGGACACGAAGAAGGAUCAGAAGGAAGGAAGGAAGGAAGGAAGGAAGGAAGGAACGAAGGAAGGAAGGAAGGAGGAAGAAGAAGAAGAAGAAGAAUCGGAGGGUAUAAGUCGCUCUGACGCUCAAGCGUGAAGCGAACAACUCGCGAACACGAAAUUCCCACAGUCGAAAGAGCGUGGGUAGUAGGUCGUUUUUCUCUUUUUAAUCUGCCACCUGCCAACGAGACAUCCCAAUUUUUUUCACUCUUUUAUUUUCUCUAUCUCUCUUUACGUACAUAACAUAGUUGCCAUUCAAUACUCGGAGGAAUAUCAUACGUACGAAUCACGUACUCUCUUUUAAAGUCGAGCAUAAGCGUGCCUGGUUCAGGUGUAGCUUCCUGCACUUAAGGUCCAAGAGAUGUAUAUCUUCUCCUCUAUAAUCCGACCUCGGCUUCGUAUUUCCUACCACGGUCACCCAGAUGCUCAACCAUCGUGUGCAUCAACCGGUUGGCUCUGGUGUUUGUUCUGCGCGUUCCUUCAUUUCCAUGACGUCGCAUCGAAAGCCGGUUUGUGCGAGGUGGAGUCCGGUCAAUCCAACAUUAUUCUGGACAUCGAGGAGAGCAGAGGAAACGCUAUCGAUCAGAAGACAACGCCGGAAGAGUUACCAGUGUCUGGCGAUCCUUACAACGAGACAACGUUGGAGUUGAUUUUUCCUGGCAGACAACCGCUCUUUAAAUUGAUCGGGAAGAAACUUCAGCUUUUAGAACCUUUGGAUAGAGACGACGAGAAUCUAUCGCACGUUGUCUUUCAGUUGAGCUGCACCGUCAAGCUGACCAACAAGAAGCGCACGAUACCAGUUAUCGUCAGGGUUUCAGAUAUCAACGAUAACGCACCUAAAUUCAUCAAUACGCCUUAUGAGACUACCGUACCUGAGCUGACGCCAGUCGGUUCGACGAUCUUUAAGAACGUCGUUGCGAUCGAUGCCGAUGCAGGAGUGAACGGUAUAGUUGAAUACUCGAUUGCACCAGGAGACGGAACAGGAAUUGGUAACAACGAUGGGGUCGGUCGCAAUAGGAUCACAACCGCGGAUGGUUAUGGAUACUUUAGCAUCAAUUUGCCUCAUCAGGGUCAGGUUACCGUCAAUCGUACUCUUGACUUUGAGAGAACGCAACGUUACUUGGUCACUAUUCUGGCUUCUGAUAGGGCGUUGAACGUAUCGGAUAGAUUCACAUCCACGACCACCUUGACUGUGAACAUCAGAGACGACGAUGAUCAAGAUCCAUCCUUCAUCUACCAAGGUUGUAUGCUGCUGGAUGGCGCCUGCAUUAAUCCGGAAUACUCGGCAUCCGUAUCGAGUGGAGUAUUGUCGGGAAUAUUGAACAUAUCACCGGAGAAAAUACAGGCAGUUGAUAUGGACAGCAUAAACGCACCUAUUCAUUAUUCAUUUCUCAGUGGAAAUCCAUCCAACUACAGAGAUUUCUUCGAGAUCAAUCCGAAUUCAGGUGCGGUCAAGCAGAUCAAGGCUGUCGACACGUCGGUCACUAAAAAGUUCGACAUAAUAAUAAAGGCGGUAGAGGUGUCGGAAGCAAAACGAUCUGCCACGGCGAAGCUGAUAAUCACGGUGAAACCGGUCGACAGCAAUCCACCGGUGAUCACAGCUUCGAACAACGAGGGUUUUGUCGACGAGAAUGCGCCGGUCGGUACAAAGGUCAUCGAUAAAAAUGGCAAGCCAAUAACGCUUACCGUAUCCGAUGCCGAUCUGGGUGUCGACGAUCCAAAACCAGCGUACACGUUCGAACUAACAACGAGUUACUUUUCGAUCGAUCCGUCUGGCGUCCUGAUCGUUAACGAGGAAAAUCUCGAUCGGGAUCCACCGAAUCCUGGCCGUUUUCGAUUUCAAGUAGUAGCCAGAGAGAAAACGGGCUUGGCCGCAUCGGCGCCGCUUUCUUUCGUCGUGACGUUGAACGACGUUAACGAUAACGCGCCUCAUCUUCCAAUGACAGCACCGAUUUCGGUCCAGGCCGGUGAGACGAGACGCCAAGUGACAAAGGUAGAGGCGACGGACAACGACGAGGGUGAGAACGCCGAGAUAACGUAUAGUAUUUAUCACGUCUCAAACAAUGGACUGCACAAGUUCAAAAUAGAUCCUAAAACUGGUAUUAUCGAAUCUGUGAGGAAACUCAAUGCAGGAGAACAGUACAGCAUAACAGUUCAGGCUACCGACAAAGGUGGCAAAUAUUCUCAAACUAUCGUCGAGGUAAAUGUUAUUCCUGGACCGAAUACGAGGAGUCCAAUUUUCCAACAGCCCGUAUACGAGGUACAAGUUAGCGAGGGUGCUUCGAUCAAUUCUACGGUUGCCACUAUAACUGCCGUUGAUCCGGAAAACGAUCCCGUCUCAUAUUCCAUUGUUUCGGGAAAUGAUCUGAGACAGUUUGCGAUUGGUGACAAAUCCGGCGUUAUCACCGUCAUAAGAAAAUUGGACAGAGAAGAUUUGACUCGUUAUCAAUUGUUGAUAAAAGCAGAGGACACCGGUGGACUUUCGAGUACGGCUACGGUCAAUAUCAAGGUCACCGACAUCAAUGACAAAAAUCCAGAAUUCGUCGAGCUGCCAUAUCAAUUUUCCGUAAAGGAGGGCGAGGCACGUAAGUUGAUAGGUCGCGUACAUGCCGAGGAUGCCGACGAGGGUAUCAAUGCGGAAAUCACUUAUUUCGCUCCGGAUGAUAUUCCAUUCACGGUCGAUCCCGAGACCGGCGACGUCCUCACGAAGAUCGUUUUGGAUUACGAGCAGAAUGACGAAUAUAAAUUCGUGGUAACCGCGAGAGACGGAGCACCUGAUUAUCGCUUGGCAACUGCAACCGUUACCGUCAAAGUGAUAGACGUAGAGGAUGAAGUUCCAAUAUUUCGUCAGAGUAGCUACGAGGCCCGAGUUAAGGAGAACGUCCCGGAUUACAUGGUGAUACAAGUGAUGGCCGAUGAUCCGGACACAAAGAAGCAAAUCACAUAUACGAUCAAGCAAGGCGACAUCGAACUCUUUGCCAUAGACCCGAAGAAUGGAGUGAUAAAAACCACUCGUGGUCUCGACUAUGAAAGAGAGAGCCAACAUAUUCUUAUCAUCGGGACGGUCGAGAACACGAGCGAUCUCCCUGGUUCUACCACGAGGGUCGUCGUCAAUGUCCAGGACGUUAACGAUAUACCACCGAUCUUUACCAUGGUACCUCGACCCAUUACGCUGGAUGACGACUCACCUAUAGGAACGACGGUUAUCAAUCUCGUCGCCGCAGAUUCUGACGGUACGGCACCCGGAAAUCAGGUGCGAUACGAGAUUAUAGGUCGUGGUAUAGCCAGCAAAUACUUUGUCAUCGAUCCUGAUACCGGAGUGAUUAGAAUACGAGAUGAUCUUCGAAAAGAAACCGACUCCGAAUAUCAGGUGGACGUACGAGCAUACGACAUGGGCGAACCUCGAUUGUCAUCCGUGACAACAGUCCCGAUUUUUGUUCGACACGUCGCCACUGUGCCGCCAGAGGUCGGCUUGGGCUUUGCAGAGAAUUCGUACAACGUCGAGGUACCGGAAGAUGCUGCCGACGGGACGUUGAUAAAGAUAAUUACGAUCAUCAACAGUCACGCUCAUGAUUCGACGCCCUUGAAAUGUGAGAUUUACAGCGGAAAUGAGAACGAUUUGUUCGAGGCGAAUGUCACCGAGGAGCGCAAUUGUGCUCUUAAAUUGAAAAAGGCUGCUCUCGACUAUGAGACAACCGAAUUUUAUCAGAUCAAGAUCAGGCUAGAGUCGUUGUCCGGUUUAUUGAAUUCUGGUCGCAACACAACCAUGGUAAAGAUUCAAGUCAUAGACGUGAACGACAACAAGCCGGAAUUUAUCUUUCCCGAGGACGAUUACAAACUGAGAAGGGCUCGUUACUUUGCUGCGAUACCUCGAAAUGCACAGUUCGGAUCGAGUGUUAUACAAGUAAAAGCACACGACAAGGACAACGGGAAAUACGGAAAAUUGGAGUAUAAGAUUCUCGAGGGACGUGGCUCUGAUUAUUUCGCGAUGGAUGCUUUCUCUGGAAUAAUACGAACUACCGCGACCUUUGACAACGUCGAUCCUUCCGAGUUACCCUUUAAAUUCGACGUGAACGUACGUGACAAUCCAAACUCGACGAUAAACUUCAAUUCGAUUGUUGCCCCGGUGAUAGUUAAUUUAAUAGGCGAAGAAAAUCUAUUGAUCCUGGUAAUUCAGGACGCAGCACCUGAGGUACUUCAGAAGGAUGCUAGGAGAAUGGCGAACAUCAUCGAGGAAAAGAGUGAACUCUUGGUUGGUAUCGAUAGAAUCGCCGUUAGGAAGGUUCGGACGAAGAAUGGAACGGUCGAAACUUAUCCCCAAGACUCGGACGUUUGGUUUUACGCUAUCGAUCCUGAUACUGAACUGAUAUUGGAUCGCAAUAGCUCUAGAAUCCAAAGGUCGAUCGUCGAAAGAACUGCGGUAUCGAACAUCACGUUUGACGUUUCGACGUUGGUACGCGCUAACGCAAUCGACAUACACGCACCAGUAAUGUACGCGGAGCCCGUUCGCACGCAAACAGCUGUGGCGUUCAGCGGAGAAGUAUUCCCAUAUGCUCUGAUCAUCAUAGCCUGCGUCAUCCUCAUACUUGGAAUCGCCGGAAUAAUCUACAUCUGCAUAUCUUGGUCCAGGUAUAAGGCAUACAAGGAGCGAAUGCAACGGAUGUAUGUUGUACCUCGUUAUGAUCCCGUCUACGUCGAGCCCAAUUUGAAGGAAUACGAGACGCAGGUGCUUCAAAUGAGCGUCCCCGUAGAUGACAAUGACAGUUACAACGACUUGCAACUUGACUUCAGCAACAAGAAUCAUGCCUUCAGUUUGGACAACGUUAGUUAUAUUACCAAAGACCACGGUGGGAGUACCGGCCAACAAAGUCCUGUGAGUUCGGAAGCUGCGACCACGGCUCGAGCCUCUAGUAUAGCCGGGAAUCAUGCGGAGGGUAACGUCCAUUCACUUCGACGAUCGACUCUUGGUCGUAAGAAUCACACAACCAGCAACAGCAAUACCAUCAAUAAUCACGACACCACCACACCCGUCCUCAAUCCUCUCUACAAUCAUGGCGGUGAUCUACUCAGUGCGAGUCCUUCCAACGAUAACGUUACGUUCCGAGAAAAGAAGGACUAUUCUCAUCUCGGAUUUACUUACUUGUACGAGCAGAGCCCCGUGGAAACGACCACUGAAUUAUUGAUGACUGCUUGGACGUUUUUGCAAAGACUUCGGAAUGAAAUACUUAAAAGUGGCAGUGUUCACGUUCAACCUGUUAAUAUGGUUGGCCGGUUGCACGGUGCUAGUUAUAGGAGCAUGGUUACUAUUGGAGCCAAGCAAAGGACACCUUCUGAAUCUUUUUCUACCCGACGUCAAACCCCACGAGACGAUUGAUUUGAUAGCGUACAGCUUGGUCGGCCUCGGCUUCACCGUCUUUAUGGUGGGUUUCUUUGGUUGUCGUGCUGCUCUGCGUGGAAAUCAGUGCAUUCUCGCAACGUACAUGAGCAUGCUGGUCGCCCUGAUCGUAACAGAACUUGUCACAGCAGCAAUUGGUGGGCUCAUGACUUUUCGGAUUCUUUCCGAUUUGGAAGGAAGAUUGUCCGACAAAUUGACCACGGAUUACGGCCACGAUACUACCAG